GAGAACGCUGACGGAAUGCUUAACACGGGCAAGUCUACUUGAACUUCGGUUUGGGUGGCGGACGGGUGAGUAACGCGUAAAGAACUUGCCUCACAGUUAGGGACAACAUUUUAAACUAAGGCUAAUACCUGAUAUUAUGAUUUUAGGGCAUCCUAAGAUAUGAGAGCUAUUGCGCUUUGAGAGAGCUUUGCUUUCCAUUAGCUUUUAGGAUUGGUUACGUCUCUCGUGGCGAUGAUUGGUAUCCGUUCUGUGUGGGUGUUAUCCUCAAGGUGACUGAGACUGUGUGCUUCUCGUGUUGUGGUAUGUUGGGUGUUUUUUUGAUUGAUCUAGAGGUUUGUCUAUUGUACCGUGGUAUAUUGCGUUGCGUAAUUAUGUUUCUGUUUGUGUGGUUUUGAAUGUUUUGCUUGUGUUUGUUUGGUUAUAGGUUCGUUAUGUUGGAUUGUUUAUUUGAGUUGCUUUGAUUUAUUGGGGAUUGUUGUGUGUUUUUUAUUAUUUAUUGUAUGUGUGGGUUGAUUUGUUUGUUUGUGGGGAUUGUGUUGUCUGUGUUUGCUUAUGUUGGUUUUUUUUUUGGUUUGUGGUGUGUUUGGGGUUGUUUGGUUUGGUUUGUGAGUUGGUUUUGGUUGAUUGUGUUGUGGGUUUGUUGUUUUUGUUUUUUUGUUUCUUGUUGUG
rnacentral:rRNA from 1 species